GGUCACGAGCGCCAGCGCGAAGCCCCGGCUCGCUGGCCGGCAACCCCCUGUCACGGCGGGGUGCUCCGGGAGAUAACCAGGCCGAGCCCGGCCUGCCUCGCCACCGGCGAGGACGGCCCGCACGGCAAGCGUGAUCG
rnacentral:ncRNA from 2 species